UUUGGGUUGUUUGGGGUUUUCCUCAGGGGGGUGUGUAUAAAUCCGUGCUGGAGUUUCGCGGCUCCGUGCCCGGAGUUUGUCGCUCAGCUCCGGCCGUGCCGCGGGCACACGCGGCGGGUGGGGGGCAGGAGAACAGAGCCCCAGAGGGGUACAGACCCCCGUUCCUCCCUCCCCUGUCCCCCUAACGCCAUCUCUCUGAGCACCGUGCCGCCGGCAGAGCUGUCACUCGAGGUUUCUGGCCAGCAGCACUGAGCACUGUCACUGAGGCCAACUUUUGGAAAUGCUGGGUUUUAACUGUGUGCCUGCAGGAGGGACAGGGACAUCCCUGGCUGUGCUGUGGGCUGGAGACAGGACAGCCCUCAACCCCUUCAACCCCUCAACCCCAAGGGUGAGUGCUUAGAAAAUGCAGGCAAAACCAAACCUGCAGUGAAAAAUUAGGGAGAGUGAGAGAGGAGCCAUGCAGAGCAGUCUGUGUGUGCAGGAAAUAUCCUGAACCUCCUGCCUGAGGUUUUCCCUUUCCCCCAUGGGAUGUGCUGGUGGCUGGGGCAUCUCAAGGGCUUUGUUGCUGUAGAAAAUCCCUGAUAUCUCUGUACCAGAGGAGCUCACAUCUCCCAGAUCUCCAAAUUCCCCAUCAAACUGAGAAAUCCCCACCCCAGUGAGUUGCUGCAGCCCCUACCAAGCCCCCAUCAUGGACCAUCCCUUGCAGGACAGUUUUGGGAAGCCCAAUGGCUCUGCAAUUCCUGUCUGGGCACCCUGUGAAGGAGGGGGGAGCCUCUCACACCCUCUCCUUGCCCUGAUGGAAUAAUUUCCACCAUUUUCCCACUUUUAGGCUUUGCCCCUAAACCCAGCCCCACAAAACCAGCAGGAAAAUGGAACCAAAAAACCCAAACCCAUCCUGGCCAUCAGGCCAAGCCCACAGCUCCCGUGGAGGGACCAGCAGACACAGACCUGCUCCAUCCCAGCACAGAGCAGAUUUCCCCUGCACUAAUUACUGCUAAUUGAGCCACUUGACUGUGGGGGAGCCCUGCCCUGGCCAGGCUGAUAGAGUAUCAGGGAGAUAAGGAGCACUCAGCACAGGUAACGGGGAAGUGUUGGCAGAGCUGUGGUGGCACCUUCUGGAGGGGUUAUCUCCCCUCCCCAGAGCACAGGACACCCAGUUCCAAAGGGAAACACUCUGGCCCUGAGGAUCUGUGCAGAGCCUAAGAGUGAUCUUCAAGAGAGGCUGAAAAGCUUUUCUAGGAGGUGCCCUGUGGGAUUUUGGUGACUCAGGAGCUCAGCAAAUCAAGCUGGCAUUCAUUUCUGAGUAACUCUUUUAAAUUUCCUUAACAUGCAUUUUAUUCCUUUGGCUGGCUUUUGCUGUUGUUAAUUUAACACCGUGCAAAUGAAACUUUAAACAUUUUUCCCCCUUUUUUCUUCCCUACAGAGAAAUAAAUGUUUUUCUUUUAACAAAUCCUGUCUCUCUCAGCACUUUUGUUAUUUUUCACCACCUCCACUGGCCUACACAGAGUAAUUCAGCUCCUACACCAUCCUGAGCACCAGCUGGGCAUUCCAUGGAAGUCCUGCUGCCCUGACCCUGCUCUGGGAUCAAGCACUGUCACUGCAGGACACAAAAUAACAUGACGUGGACACACUGCUCUUUUCAAGGUAAAAGGGACUUUUUAAUUUCUGACUCCAGCAUUUGUAGAUUUCCAAAAGUGACCGUGGAUUGGAGGGUGACAGUGCCGCCUCUCCAAUGACACUGGACAAACCAACAGUCCAUCAGAUUUCUCUUCUUCCAUGAAAUAAUGCAAAAAAUAAGUUAGUUUCAUAAAGUGUGUGGAAAAGUUCAUUACAAGAAUGUAAACCUCAGAAGGCUUAGAAAAACUUAAAAAAUCAGGGUGACACCACACAUCAGCCCAAGGGCCUUUCCAGAGCCCACCUCCCUUGGCAGCCUGGACUAGGAGUGGACAGCAGGACACAGGGAUGCCAAGUGGAGAAUAAUAAUUUCUUAAAACAUAGGACUGCCUGUGUUUGCCUAACCAGGUCUUCUCUUUGGUCUAAGUCAAAGCCAGGCUCAGCUUUAAGCUGGGAAAUACUGGAGGUGUAUAAAAGGGAUGAUUUGAUUUCCCAGGUAUGUUCUGCCCAGUGGGUGCUUGGGGGAAGAUGUGCAGAACCACCACAGCUGUCAGAAGAUUUUUGGGUUGUGUCCCUAGCCCUGACUUUCACUGAUGAACCGAGGCUUUUCUCUUUGUGUGUGUUUUGUUUUAAAUUUAAACAAGGGCCCUUUGCACACUCGACACAAUCCAUCCACUUAGCACUGAAGAAAGUGUAAUUAGACACUUGGAGAACUGGAAGAAAUUAACUCCGACCACAGCCCGUCACUCAGACUAUUACUUAAUAAUAUUUCCCAAAUGUGCAAAGCACUUAGUUCUGCAAUAACAGGAAAGGAGUGUAACUUCUCACCCUGAGCAGGGCUCUGCCGUGUGGAGCACACAGGAAAACCUCACCAGCACCAGGAGAUGUUCUGCCACCUCCCAUCAUCACCUGAGAGCCACCAGGAGAUGGGAAGGAUGCCAUUCAUGGUCCCCAGUCCAUGGCACUGAAGGGCUGGAAGGGAGUCAAGGGCAGUGCCCAGUCCAAGGUGCUCAGCUUCCCAGGAGAAAAUCCUGGGCGAGGAGGAUUUUUCAGAAAGCAUCCUGGUGAAUUCGGGCUGCGUGCGAGGAGAUCUCCCCCAGCUUCCAACACGCCACGGAAACCGCGGAGAAAUUGCUGCUUUCCUUCUCCUGCACGGCCCGGCCUCAGCCCUCGCUGCAGAACCCUGGCCAGAAAGGGAUGAUUGUGAUCCCUGCCCGUUUCUUUGCUCACUAAAAGGGCCCAUUCAUCCUGGCUAAUUCUGAGGGGUAUCAGUGGCAGGAGCUGGAGCUGAGUGUCUCCAGCCCAACUAGGGAAACAGAUCUCCUUGCCUCGGAGCUCUGGAGGGGAGCAUUUCUCUGCUUUUAAACACAAAUGUCUUUGCUGGCCAUGGCAAGUUUUAAAAAAGUCCUGACGAAGCAGGGCUGGGUCAUUUUCCCAGCAAAAACAAGAGGCUGUUUAAAAAGUGGGGGGAAAAGGUUGUUCUCAUCUAUUUCUGCUUCAGGAGCCAACACAGCCACCUUCACCUGCUUUAAUUACCCCUCACAUAUCAAUGAGGCCGUGUCCAGAACAAUGAACCGCUUGCCUUGUUGCAAGACAUUGAAAAAAUUUGAUUUUUUUAAUAAAAACAUCCGUGAUGCCUUAAAUGCUGAAGUCAUUGUGAAUUCCAGCUCCCAGGAUUUCCCCAUGUGUGUGGGAAGAGCUGCAAUGUAAUUGCUUUCAG